rnacentral:rRNA from 1 species
AUACGUAGGGUGCAAGCGUUAUCCGGAAUCACUGGGCGUAAAGAGCUCGUAGGCGGCUUGGUAAGUCACAUGUUAAAGACCCGGGCUCAACUCGGGGAAUGCGUGUGAUACUGCCAGGCUGGAGAACGGGAGAGGUAAGUGGAAUUCCUGGUGUAGCGGUGAAAUGCAUAGAUAUCCGGAAGAACACCAGUGGCGAAGGCGGCUUACUAGACCGCUUCUGACGCUGAGGAGCGAAAGCCAGGGGAGCGAACGGGAUUAGAAACCCUAGUAGUCC